rnacentral:rRNA from 1 species
UACAGAGGGUGCGAGCGUUAAUCGGAAUUACUGGGCGUAAAGGGCGCGUAGGUGGUUUGAUAAGAUGGUUGUGAAAUACCCGGGCUUAACCUGGGAAUGGCAAUCAAGACUGUUAGACUUGAGUGUGGUAGAGGGUAGUGGAAUUUCCGGUGUAGCGGUGAAAUGCGUAGAGAUCGGAAGGAACACCAGUGGCGAAGGCGGCCCCCUGGACCGGUACUGACGCUGAGGCGCGAAAGCGUGGGUAGCAAACGGG